rnacentral:rRNA from 1 species
UACGUAGGGUGCAAGCGUUUAUCCGGAAUUAUUGGGCGUAAAGAGCUCGUAGGCGGCUUGUCGCGUCGGCUGUGAAAACCUGGGGCUCAACCCCGGGCCUGCAGCCCGGAUACGGGCAAGCGUAAGAAUUCGGUGAGGGGAGGACUGGAAUUCCUGGUGUGAGCGGUGGAAAUACGCAGAUAUCAGGAGGAACACCGGUGGCGAAGGCGGGUCUCUGGGCCGACACUGACGCUCAUGCACGAAGGCGUGGGGAGCAAACAGG